CCUGUAAUACUUGCACUAGGUUAAAUGUCAAUCGUAUUGAUCGUUUAACCGUAGAAUGAUUCUUAAUCGUUGAUCAACCAUCCGAUUAGAUUAUGAACUCUAAUGUAUGUGACCUCAUAAGUCUAAACCUAAGCUGGUAGCAUAGGAAUAAAUUUUUAUACCAAUCGAAGUGAUCAUCUAGCAAUGGUACCCGAUGGUCGGAUAGGUCGAAUGUAUAGAACAACAUCCUUAGAAUCCAUGUGGAUAUAGUUUUCAUAUAAUUCAUCUCC
rnacentral:lncRNA from 1 species